rnacentral:rRNA from 1 species
GUGCCAGCAGCCGCGGUAAUACGGAGGAUGCAAGCGUUAUCCGGAUUCAUUGGGUUUAAAGGGUGCGCAGGCGGAUUGGUAAGUCAGGGGUGAAAUCCCACAGCUCAACUGUGGAACUGCCUUUGAUACUGUCAGUCUAGAGUAUAGUUGAAGUUGGCGGAAUGUGUCAUGUAGCGGUGAAAUGCUUAGAUAUGACACAGAACACCGAUCGCGAAGGCAGCUAGCUAAGCUAUAACUGACGCUCAUGCAC